rnacentral:rRNA from 1 species
UACGGAGGGGGCUAGCGUUGUUCGGAAUGACUGGGCGUAAAGCGCGCGUAGGCGGGCGGUCAAGUUGGGGGUGAAAUCCCAGGGCUCAACCCUGGAACUGCCUUUAAUACUGGCAAUCUCGAGUCCGAGAGAGGUGAGUGGAAUUCCGAGUGUAGAGGUGAAAUUCGUAGAUAUUCGGAGGAACACCAGUGGCGAAGGCGGCUCACUGGCUCGGUACUGACGCUGAGGUGCGAAAGCGUGGGGAGCAAACAGG